AUGAACGCUGGCGGCGUGCCUCAUACAUGCAAGUCGCGCGAACGGACGAGAAGCUUGCUUUUCUGAUGUUAGCGGCGGACGGGUGAGUAACACGUGGAUAACCUACCUAUAAGACUGGGAUAACUUCGGGAAACCGGAGCUAAUACCGGAUAAUAUUUUGAACCGCAUGGUUCAAAAGUGAAAGACGGUCUUGCUGUCACUUAUAGAUGGAUCCGCGCUGCAUUGGCUAGUUGGUAAGGUAACGGCUUACCAAGGCAACGAUGCAUAGCCGACCUGAGAGGGUGAUCGGCCACACUGGAACUGAGACACGGUCCAGACUCCUACGGGAGGCAGCAGUAGGGAAUCUUCCGCAAUGGGCGAAAGCCUGACGGAGCAACGCCGCGUGAGUGAUGAAGGUCUUCGGAUCGUAAAACUCUGUUAUUAGGGAAGAACAUAUGUGUAAGUAACUGUGCACAUCUUGACGGUACCUAAUCAGAAAGCCACGGCUAACUACGUG
rnacentral:rRNA from 1 species